rnacentral:misc_RNA from 1 species
CCUUCGAGAUCUCUGAGCAGCUUCAAUGGCCUCUCUUUGCAUUUUGGCUUCUGCUUUUGCUAUUCUCUCUCUUUCGAGUUUCAAUCUGGCUUUCUCCUUCCUCUCUCUUUGCUCUUUUUGGAGCUUCUCUGCAGCCCUUCGCAGCUCAAAAUCCAUCUUCGCUGUAAAAGAAAAAUCUGUAAGAAGGGUAUGAUGAAUCAACGCGUAUAUAUAAGUUAAGGUUUGUUGUUGGAUGCGUCGGUAGUUGGUGACACAGGUAA